GCGCGGGUAGCUCAGUGGUAGAGCUUUCGAUUGCAGCGGUCGAAGGGUCACGUGGUUCGAACCCGGUCUCGCGCU
rnacentral:tRNA from 1 species